rnacentral:rRNA from 1 species
CGCGUAGGCGGUCUAUUAAGUCUGAUGUGAAAGGUACCGGCUCGACCGGUGAAGUGCAUUGGAAACUGGUAGACUUGAGUAUUGGAGAGGCAAGUGGAAUUCCUAGUGUAGCGGUGAAAUGCGUAGAUAUUAGGAGGAACACCAGUGGCGAAGGCGGCUUGCUGGACAAAUACUGACGCUGAGGUGCGAAAGCGUGGGAGCGAACA